GACAGAGGGUGCAAACGUUGCUCGGAAUCACUGGGCGUAAAGGGCGCGUAGGCGGGAAUGUAAGUCGGGCGUGAAAUCCCCAGGCUCAACCUGAGAACUGCACUCGAACUGCGUUUCUUUGAGUAUCGGAGAGGAAAGCGGAAUUCCUGGUGUAGAGGUGAAAUUCGUAGAUAUCAGGAGGAACACCAGUGGCGAAGGGCGCUUUCUGGACGGUAAC
rnacentral:rRNA from 1 species